UAAAUUUUUUCAACGUAUAUGACCAACUUAACAUACAAAUAUGCCCUUAUACAUACACAAGUUACAGCAAUUUCUAUUGACACUAACAAUGUGUAUAAGAACUCAUAGGGGGUCAUCAUACACAGAAGGGGCUACAAUUUUGUCAAAUCCAUUGAUUAGUUGCAAUUGACAAGUUUGUAUAUUCCAACCAAAAUUGCAUCUUCUUAUCAUGUCCUUUUAGUUUCACAUCUCCAUGCAACAAGAAACCAACACAUUUGCAUUCCAUUUUUGCUGCUUUUUGCACCAAAAGGCCCACUAGCACAGGCCCCAACAUCCACUGCCCAUUCCCAACCAC
rnacentral:lncRNA from 1 species